AUCAGACACGGUGUUAGCCGCCGCGGUAAUACGAAGGGGGCUAGCGUUGUUCGGAAUUACUGGGCGUAAAGCGCACGUAGGCGGAUAUUUAAGUCAGGGGUGAAAUCCCAGAGCUCAACUCUGGAACUGCCUUUGAUACUGGGUAUCUUGAGUAUGGAAGAGGUAAGUGGAAUUCCGAGUGUAGAGGUGAAAUUCGUAGAUAUUCGGAGGAACACCAGUGGCGAAGGCGGCUUACUGGUCCAUUACUGACGCUGAGGUGCGAAAGCGUGGGGANCAAACAGGAUUAGAUACCCUGGUACGUCCACGCCGUAAAACGAUAGAAUGUUAGCCGUCGGGCAGUAUACUGUUCGGUGGCGCAGCUAACGC
rnacentral:rRNA from 1 species